rnacentral:rRNA from 1 species
UAAUACGGAGGAUGCAAGCGUUAUCCGGAUUUAUUGGGUUUAAAGGGUCCGUAGGCGGGCAUAUAAGUCAGGGGUGAAAUCCGACAGCUUAACUGUCGAACUGCCUUUGAAACUGUAUGUCUUGAGUGAGAUUGAAGCAGCUGGAAUGUGUAGUGUAGCGGUGAAAUGCAUAGAUAUUACACAGAACACCGAUAGCGAAGGCAGGUUGCUAAGUCUUUACUGACGCUGAUGGACGAAAGCGUGGGGAGCAAACAGG